AGCGAACGCUGGCGGCAGGCCUAACACAUGUAAGUCGAACGGUAACAGGCCGCAAGGUGCUGACGAGUGGCGAACGGGUGAGUAAUGCAUCGGAACGUGCCCAGUCGUGGGGGAUAACGCAGCGAAAGCUGCGCUAAUACCGCAUACGAUCUACGGAUGAAAGCAGGGGAUCGCAAGACCUUGCGCGAAUGGAGCGGCCG
rnacentral:rRNA from 1 species